rnacentral:ncRNA from 1 species
CGGACUAUGGCAUAUCAUUCAGCGGAGGAAAAGAAACUAACAAGGAUUCUCUUAGUAGCGGAAAGUGAACGGGGAGAAGCCCGGGGCUGAAUCUCUCGGUGUCACAUCGUGGAAAAUAAAAUAUAAUAGAGGAGUAGCUUCCAGUUUGUGCUGCAUGAUCGAAGUCCUUUUGAUAAGGGGCAUAUCCCUGAGGGCGGGAGAGCGAGACCUGUGCCGACAGUGGAGCAGGCUGAGCUGCUAUAUCCUGAAGUGGCGUUGCUUGGAAGUGCAGCCGAACGUGGGGAUAAGCUUCAUCUAAGGAUAAAUGUAGACGCAAAUUCGAUAGCAAACAAGAAAUACUGUGAAG